UACGUAGGGGCCAAGCGUUGUCCGGAUUUAUUGGGCGUAAAGAGCUCGUAGGCGGUUCGGCAAGUCAGCUGUGAAAUCUCCACGCUCAACGUGGAGGGGUCAGCUGAUACUGCUGUGACUCGAGUCCGGUGAGGGGAGUGUGGAAUUCCUGGUGUAGCGGUGAAAUGCGCAGAUAUCAGGAAGAACACCCGUGGCGAAGGCGGCUCUCUGGGACGGUACUGACGGCUGAGACGCGAAAGCGUGGGGAGCGAACAGG
rnacentral:rRNA from 1 species